ACCGGGUUCUCUUUGUGGUGAUA
rnacentral:miRNA from 1 species